rnacentral:rRNA from 1 species
AACGAACGCUGGCGGCAUGCCUAACACAUGCAAGUCGAACGAGACCUUCGGGUCUAGUGGCGCACGGGUGCGUAACGCGUGGGAACCUUCCCUUAGGUUCGGAAUAACUCCCCGAAAGGGGUGCUAAUACCGGAUAAUGUCUUCGGACCAAAGAUUUAUCGCCUUUGGAUGGGCCCGCGUUGGAUUAGCUAGUUGGUAGGGUAAAAGCCUACCAAGGCGACGAUCCAUAGCUGGUCUGAGAGGAUGAUCAGCCACACUGGGACUGAGACACGGCCCAGACUCCUACGGGAGGCAGCAGUGGGGAAUAUUGGACAAUGGGCGAAAGCCUGAGCCAGCAAUGCCGCGUGAGUGAUGAAGGCCUUAGGGUUGUAAAGCUCUUUUACCCGGGAUGAUAAUGACAGUACCGGGAGAAUAAGCUCCGGCUAACUCCGUG